rnacentral:rRNA from 1 species
CACGCUGUAAACGAUGAGUGCUAGAUGUCGGGAAUUUAUUUUCGGCAUCGUAGCUAACGCAUUAAGCACUCCGCCUGGGGACUACGAUCGCAAGAUUAAAACUCAAAGGAAUUGACGGGGGCUCGCACAAGUGGUGGAGCAUGCGGUUUAAUUCGAUGCUACGCGAAAAACCUUACCAACCCUUGACAUGGUGGUCGCGGGUCUCAGAGAUGAGACCCUUCAGUUCGGCUGGACCACACACAGGUGU